UCGUUGAACUAACUGCUCGAUUAAUGGUAUUUUAAUCGAGUCUCCCGAUCCGAUCUCAAAUAUUAAUCGUACUCAGCUGAAUGAAAUUGGAUUCGAGCAAUUCAUGUGAGUCAACCUGAAUUUAUGUCCGAACAAAUAUAUUUUUCUCUUCUUUAGAAGAGCAAGACUUUUGACAUAUGUGCUUGGAAUCUUUUUAAAGAAGCUUGAGGACAUAGCUAUAUACGUGGCCUUUGGUGCUCUCCCCAGAUAUACGUGUAGAUUUUUGACUACUCCCACAUAUAUACUUUUCUUCUCUCUCAAUAUAUCCCUUAGCAAAGCAGAGAGAAACGAUCAGUACUUCUUAGGUCUUAGAGGUUAAAAGACACCAGAAUAUCUUUGGUGAUUUCUUCUUCUGCCAUUCAAGUAUGUGCGGGUUUCAGUUCCAAUCCCAGAAUUCGAGAACCAACAAGAGAGUUUUUUGGGGAAAAGGAGGGUUAUGAAAGAAGUCGAAUGCUGAUGGUGCUAGGUUGAUUUAUCAGUUUGCUGCAAGUGUUUCACUGCCUUGAUCUCACCAAGUUAUGUAUUGGCUUCAACGUUGUGUGAAAGCAUAUAUAUGCUAUUCUGACCAAUACUACCGUGGAGAUCAUGGUUCCUCGAGAUGUUCUUAACUCUAAAGUCUGAAUAUGCGAGAAUGGAAGCACAGCCUUACUCAAAUUCAAACAGGGAGUCUAAAUGCUGAAGACAAAGAGAGGUAGACGACUCGGGAUACAACUGAGGAUCAAACUCAAGUUGGCUUUUCAAGAUGGGCAGGUCAGCAUGAGAUUGUCUGAAAUAGAACUUCUAAUAUACUUGACGCUGCUUGUGUGAUUAAGUUUAAGAUUAUUUUGGCUCAAAUUUCUCAAUUGGCAAAUCUCCUUUUGUUCAUGCUAUAUUUUCGUUACUAGAAUGUUUUCAUUUCCUUUCACCAAUAAUUUUAUUUUGAAGUAAAGACACUAAUCAACUUUUGGCUGUAAGGGUUCUUGUGAUGAAUUUAAUGAGGCAGGUGUCGAGACUAAUGAAAUAUUUUUACUUUUUUGAGAAGCCAUUAAGCUAGGUCGGGAUUCAAUUGGAUAUAUAACCUAUUACAACCUGUAUUCUACUUUGUAAUAGGCAUAGUUUGGCGUUUAAAUUAGAAUUGAAAUUAAGUUUAACUUAUUCAACAUUGCAUCCAAUAAGGUCAAAUUAAAUCCUUAAAGUUCGAAAGUCAGUCAUUCUCAUCAGACUAUAGGAAAAAUGUCGUGAUAUUUAAUCUGUGCUCAUAUUUCUUAUUGGGAAAGAGCAUUACUUCUGCUGCUUUAUAUAAUAUUAUAUGAAGUCAUUGGUCUUUGCUGGCAUCUAGAAUUUGGGAGGCCCUCUGAUUUACUCUUGAGAUCACAAUGUAGUGUGCUAUUUACUAUGUGUCAAAAUAGACACAUCUCUGCUAAAAUGUGAAAUUGCAGAAUGCUUUUCUAAAACACUAAAACUCGUCGAUUCUUAAAUAAAUGAUUUGAGUAAGCAACUCCUAUUAUAUUUUAAAACUACAGGAUUUCAGCUAAUGUGAGCUUUAAGCUACUCGAUUAUGUUUUCAGGCGAUCAUUGUGCUAUUUGGGAUAUAUUCUUGAUUUUCCUUUCCUAACAUUGCAUUACUACUGGAAGUAAUAGUUUGCAUUGCUUCUCUUCACUAUUUUGCUGCAAGUAGGAUACUACUAAUAAUAAUUUUGUUGCAGCCAACAUUUCGAUGCAAAAUGUUUGGUGUGGACAAAGAUCACUUGAUUUAGCCCAUGUAUUUGCCUACAACAAUAUUUGGAGAGAGGUUUCUGCAGCAGUCAAGUUCCCUUUCAGAUAGGAUAAUAUGCCAUACUACUACUUUUCUGAAUAUUUAUACUAAUACUAAUAUCCAAGAUGAGUUACAUUAUUCUGAUAAUGAUUUUCUUGCACUUAUUCCUUAGGAUUUAUUUACUUUCUGGUGAAAGAAACUUACCCUGAGGACAUUGGUUAUAUGGCUAUUAUAGGCAUAUGCUGCAAUUGAAAUGACAUCUUUUAAUCUGUUGUGUCCUUUCAUGUAGUAUAUUUCUAAUGGGACGAUAAACAUAAUGUCCUGUCUUAAUGUCAGAAGAUGCAUAUGGCAUGUGGUGCAGAGAAAUAGGGUCUCAAUAAGUAUCCAUUUUAUUAUGUUUUACUUUUGAGGGAUACGAUUCUUUAUAAAACCUAUCUUCUUCUUCUUUCAGUAACAGUGUUCCUUGCUAUGACUUUGUGGCUAUGCAGGUUUCCUGUUUGCUUGAGAUCCUAUUGCAAUAUGUCAUAUUUCUGGGAAACUCUCUAUCACUAGAUAGCUACUCUAGCAUUCGUCACACUUGGUUGUGGAUUGAAAUAAAUGAUAAUCUAAACUGGAGGAGCGGCGCCAACAGACAAAAGACGCGAAGAGGAACAUAGAAGGGAACAUCUCGAAUACAUAUUUGUAGUCCAUAUAAGUAGUCCAGCAGAAUCUACCUCUCCAGUCAGUUUCCACAAAUUCAGGCAGGGGCGAAUUUGGGGGCGCAAGGGUGUUCAUCCGAACACCCUUCGCCGAAAAAUUACACUGUAUAUAUAAGGCAAAAUCUGUUUUUUACCUCUAUAUAUUAAGUUUUGAACACUCUUAACACAAUCCAAAAGUGUAGUUUAGUGGUUAAGGGAGUUCAAAAUCUACAUAAGGUCAUGGGUUCAAUUCCUACUAGCUACAAAAAAAUAUUUUUGAGAACCCCCUUCGUGGAGGUCUUGCCUCCGCCACUGUCUACAGGUGCCUAACAUUUUUCAAAGACUGCAAAAGACAACUAAAGCAUUAUGAAUGCAUCAUCUUUUGACUAUAUGUGGAUGGUACUCUCACGGUAAAGAAUGUAUCACCUUUUAACCACGCAACAUUCAUGAAUGGAUAUUUUGUUUCUUUAUAAAUGUAAAUAAUAUUCAGCAGUUAUCAUACAACAUCUGUUUUUAUUUGGUUUGAUAUUUGAAUUGAUAAUGACGUACAUACAUCAAUUUUUUA